rfam:Vogesella sp. LIG4 genome assembly, chromosome: I
UCGGCUGAAUCUGGAGAGCGGCGCAUAUCGCGCCCACCGAAGGGGCUAACGGCGCAAUGCCGGAAAAUCUCAGGUGCAUGGACAGAGGGGUGUGA